rnacentral:rRNA from 1 species
GCCUACGGCCAUACCAGUCUGAAAGCCUGAUCUCGUCAGAUCUCAGAAGUCAUGCAGACUUGGGCCUGUUUAGUACUUGUAUGGGAGACCAACUAGGAACCUCAGAUGCCGUAAGCA